rnacentral:lncRNA from 1 species
ACAGGAUCAAUAGGAAGCAGCUCAAGACAAUUUUACACAGCAGAAAAUGACAAUGGAGAUCUUGACCUACCAUUGUUUGAUGUAACAACAAUAUUAGAAGCUACCAAUUACUUUUCACCUGGCAACAAGAUUGGAGAAGGUGGAUUUGGACCAGUGUACAAGGUAAAUUCUAUAUUUUACUCGGUAAUUUAAACUAUAAUUAUAACAUAAUAGUAACCUAAAUUAUUAUUUAUAUCAAAAUUGCUCAGGGUGUACUCAGAAAGGGGAAAGAAAUUGCUGUGAAGAGGCUAUCAAAGUAUUCAAUACAAGGAGAUGACGAGUUCAAAAAUGAAGUAAUUUUAAUUGCAAAGUUACAACAUAGGAAUCUUGUGAAUCUUAUUGGAUGUUGCAUUCAUGAAGAAGAGAAAAUUCUUGUCUAUGAAUUCAUGCCUAACAAUAGCUUGGACAGUUACAUAUUUGGUUAGUUUUUCUCAAGACUAUACCAUAUUUCAUUUCAUUAAGGUCAUCUACAUAAUAUCGUCAUGUCCAGUGCUGUUACCAAAUAUGCUAGUUGAAUCAUUUGCUAAAUGAGAAAUUUUUGCAGAUAAGGAUCGAGGUAGAUUGUUGGAUUGGGAAAAGCGGUUUCAAAUUAUCAAUGGAAUUGCUCGUGGAUUACUUUAUCUUCACCAAGACUCCCGAUUGAGAAUCAUUCAUAGAGAUCUAAAGGCUGGAAACAUUUUGUUGGAUGCUGAUAUGAACCCGAAAAUAUCAGACUUCGGCAUGGCGAGAAGUUUUGGAGGGAAUGAAAUUGAAGCAAACACACGAAGGGUUGUCGGUACAUAGUAAGGAUUCCAACAUAAGUUAUGCAUGCUUGACUUGUUUGAUGAGUUAGGUUGCACACUGGACAAUAUUAUUAAAGAAGAAUAAGUUGAAUCUUGUCUUUAUACUGUUGAGUUCUGGAUACUAAACAUUAUCUAAGCUCUCUUUUCUUUCUUUAAAUGACAAAAUCUCAAUAUAAUUGUUGUUUUGCAGUGGCUAUAUGUCACCCGAAUAUGUGGUUGAUGGUCACUUCUCAGUCAAAUCUGACAUAUUCAGCUUUGGUGUCCUCAUUCUGGAAAUCAUAAGCGGACAAAAGAACAGAGGAUUUUUUCAUCAAGAUCACCAUCACAAUUUGCUUGGACAUGUAAGUUUUUGGUUUCUUACUUUAAUUCUUCCAACAUUCUUAACUCCUCAAAUUCUUACAUCUAACUUUGAUUCUUUCCACUCAUCAAUUAGGCAUGGAUUCUACACAAUGAAGGACGAUCUCUAGAAUUAAUCGACUCACAUUUAGCUCAAUCGUGCUACUUGUCUGAAGUACUUCGAUCAAUGCAUGUCGCUCUAUUAUGUGUACAGAGAAAUCCUGAAGAUCGGCCAAAUAUGUCGAAUGUUGUCCUAAUGUUGGCAAGUGCAGGGGCAUUGCCUAAGCCUAAAGAGCCCGGUUUUUUCACAGAAAGAAAUUCAUUUCUUGGAUUUGAAACUUCAUCAAGUAAGCCUACGGUAAGUUCUGCCAAUGAAUUGAGCUUCACGGAAAUGGAAGGUAGAUAAAAAUAUAUAAAGAAUUAGUGCCAUAAAUGCAUAUAUUACUCAUUUAUAUUAAAAUUUUCAUUCAACGAAAACAUUUUAUCGAUCUAUGUCUUUUAUCAAUUUAUGUCUUUUAUGAAUUUCUAGCGUUUCUUCAAUUUUUUGGUCUUAAAAUUUAUUUAUGUAUGAUCUAAUCACUGCAGUCUAUACUAUUGUUGAUACUAGAGUCUCUUGUAGGCAAUGUGUUGUAAAAGAAUGAGAAAUUUUGGAAAUGAAAUCAGUAUUAUAUGUCUUUCUAUAAAAA